rfam:Aspergillus fumigatus Af293 chromosome 5, whole genome shotgun sequence.
GCCCGAUUAACUCAGUUGGUUAGAGUGUCAGACUUUUAUGGCAAGAGAUCUGAAAGUCGCGAGUUCGACCCUCGCAUCGGGCG